CGGGGGGCAGCAGUUUCGAAUCAUUCACAAUGGGCGAAAGCCUGAUGGUGCGACGCCGCGUGAGGGACGAAGGCCUUCGGGUCGUAAACCUCUGUCACCGGGGAAGAAACGCUGCAUAUUAAUCGUAUGCAGUCUGACUUAACCCGGAGAGGAAGCAGUGGCUAACUCUGUGCCAGCAGCCGCGGUAAUACAGAGACUGCAAGCGUUAUUCGGAUUCACUGGGCGUAAAGGGUGCGCAGGCGGUCGUGUGUGUCAGAUGUGAAAUCCCGGAGCUUAACUCCGGAACUGCGUCUGAAACUACACGACUAGAGCAUUGGAGAGGGAAGUGGAAUUCAUGGUGUAGCAGUGAAAUGCGUAGAUAUCAUGAGGAACACCAGAGGCGAAGGCGACUUCCUGGACAAUAGCUGACGCUCAGGCACGAAAGCAUGGGGAGCAAAAGGGAUUAGAUACCCGAGU
rnacentral:rRNA from 1 species